GUGUCACCAAUAGGUUAUAAAGUUAAAGUUGGUUUGUUUCCUUGUUUAGAUGGAGAAAUGUCUUUGGUGUAGGAUUGCUGUUAUUCAAAUGUGUAAAUAUAUUUUAUUUUGUUUUAUGCUGUAUAAUAUGAAGUCACAGUGCAUUAUCAUAUGUGAGUUGUGGAUUAUAAUAACGCGAGAGUUCUUGAGAACUCACGGGAUUUGGACACCAGCUUCACGUGGCUCUCACAUCCUACAAGACUCCAGAGCAAGAGCCACGCGGAAAACAGCUUGUAAAACGAACUAACCAGCUAUGAAGAGCUGAAGCAGAAAAACUGUUAACUCAAAAAGGACCUCCAAAGUGACAGGCAGCCACGAGUUUUCACGGCGUUUCAUGAAGACAAAGAAUAAAUUCCGCCCGUACUCGA